AUGAGGUAUCUUUUUUAACCCCAAACAGCCACCUGGAAGGCAAGAGUGAAGUCUGGCUGAUGACCAUACACAAUUGUACACACUCUGCACCAACUCAAAUAAGUUCCUUUCAUAGGGAAGUCCUUUGCACACCACACCCUCCAGGACCAACUACAGCAAAACAUACAUGCCUUUGCAGGACAAAACGCCAAACUCAGACCUCACUUUGGAAAUUUCCAUGUUACGACCAUUAGGCUGUGCCUGGCUCCCAGCACUGUUCAGAACUGAACCUAAGAGCAUCUGGUGACUGUGGAGGCCAGAGGUUGAAGCUGGCUGUCUUCCUUUCUUGCUCCGUUGAUUGACAAGACUGUCUGGCAUUUGUCUCCAGCAGGCAUGUGCUACCAUAUUGUUUCUUUGGUGAAUGCUGAGUUUCUAAAUUUGGGUCCUCACUGAACCAUCUCCCCUAUCCCACAAGGAGGUCUUCUGACACUUUAUUUUGCAAAAGGAAGGACUUCAUGAAGUAAAACUUAAGAAAGAGGCCAUAUUAUCUAGGAAGUAGCAUUUGCUGAGUUUGGCUUUGAGUUCUUCAGACAAAAGAUUGCAUUUAUUAAAAAACAUUUACCUAA